AUGAACGCUAGCUACAGGCUUAACACGUGCAAGUCGAGGGGCAGCAUGGUCUUAGCUUGCUAAGGCCGAUGGCGACCGGCGCACGGGUGAGUAACACGUAUCCAACCUGCCGUCUACUCUUGGACAGCCUUCUGAAAGGAAGAUUAAUACAAGAUGGCAUCAUGAGUCCGCAUGUUCACAUGAUUAAAGGUAUUCCGGUAGACGAUGGGGAUGCGUUCCAUUAGGUUGUUGGUGAGGUAACGGCUCACCAAGCCUUCGAUGGAUAGGGGUUCUGAGAGGAAGGUCCCCCACAUUGGAACUGAGACACGGUCCAAACUCCUACGGGAGGCAGCAGUGAGGAAUAUUGGUCAAUGGACGAGAGUCUGAACCAGCCAAGUAGCGUGCAGGAUGACGGCCCUAUGGGUUGUAAACUGCUUUUAUAAGGGAAUAAAGUGGGAGUCGUGACUCUUUUUGCAUGUACCUUAUGAAUAAGGACCGGCUAAUUCCGUG
rnacentral:rRNA from 1 species